rnacentral:rRNA from 1 species
CCUACGGGAGGCAGCAGUGGGGAAUCUUGCGCAAUGGGCGAAAGCCUGACGCAGCCAUGCCGCGUGAAUGAUGAAGGUCUUAGGAUUGUAAAAUUCUUUCACCGGGGACGAUAAUGACGGUACCCGGAGAAGAAGCCCCGGCUAACUUCGUGCCAGCAGCCGCGGUAAUACGAAGGGGGCUAGCGUUGCUCGGAAUUACUGGGCGUAAAGGGAGCGUAGGCGGACAUUUAAGUCAGGGGUGAAAUCCCAGAGCUCAACUCUGGAACUGCCUUUGAUACUGGGUGUCUUGAGUGUGAUAGAGGUAUGUGGAACUCCGAGUGUAGAGGUGAAAUUCGUAGAUAUUCGGAAGAACACCAGUGGCGAAGGCGACAUACUGGAUCAUUACUGACGCUGAGGCUCGAAAGCGUGGGGAGCAAACAGGAUUAGAUACCCUGGUAGUCCACGCCGUAAACGAUGAUUGCUAGUUGUUGGGAUGUUUACAUCUCGGUGACGCAGCUAACGCAUUAAGCAAUCCGCCUGGGGAUACGGUCGCAAGAUUAAAACUCAAAAGGAUUGACGGCGNGAGAGNGCGACGACGACGACGAGGAGGAGG